rnacentral:rRNA from 1 species
GAUGAACGCUGGCGGCGUGCCUAAUACAUGCAAGUCGAGCGAACGGACGAGAAGCUUGCUUCUCUGAUGUUAGCGGCGGACGGGUGAGUAACACGUGGAUAACCUACCUAUAAGACUGGGAUAACUUCGGGAAACCGGAGCUAAUACCGGAUGAUAUUUUGCACCGCAUGGUUCAAAAGUGAAAGACGGUCUUGCUGUCACUUAUCGAUGGAUCCGCGCUGCAUUAGCUAGUUGGUAAGUUCACGGCUUACCAAGGCAACUAUGCAUAGCCGACCUGAGAGGGUGAUCGGCCACACUGGAACUGAGACACGGUCCAGACUACUACGGGAGGCAGCAGUAGGGAAUCUUCCGCAAUGGGCGAAAGCCUGACGGAGCAACGCCGCGUGAGUGAUGAAGGUCUUCGGAUCGUAAAACUCUGUUAUUAGUGAAGAACAGAUGUGUAAGUAACUGUGCAGAUCUUGACGGUACCUAAUCAGAAAGCCACGGCUAACUACGUG